rnacentral:rRNA from 1 species
UACGAGGGGUGCAAGCGUUGCUCGGAAUUACUGGGCGUAAAGAGUGUGUAGGUGGUGAUCUAAGUCUGUCGUGAAAUCUCCCGGCUUAACUGGGAGGGUGCGGCGGAAACUGGAUCGCUAGAGUAUGGGAGAGGUAAGCGGAAUUCCUGGUGUAGCGGUGAAAUGCGUAGAUAUCAGGAGGAACACCUGUGGUGUAGACAGCUUACUGGACCAUUACUGACACUGAGACACGAAAGCGUGGGUAGCAAACAGG